AAACGGCGGCCGUAACUAUAACGGUCCUAAGGUUAAUAACGCUAGCCUUAGUAAAACUGAACUAUAUGCGGGAAACUCCUCGAACAGCUGUUCGGUACUCGUUUCAGUAGCACUGAAACAGUAAAAAUCCGACAGACAUGGGGACAAUCCGCAGGGAAGGCCCGAUACUGUAUCGGGAACCCUCAGAGACUUCACGUUUAGGAUGCGCUAAUGAAUCUUGAGGCUCAAUGGAUAACAGGUUUUGUGGAUGGUGAAGGUUGUUUUCACGUGGGAAUUAAUCCCCAUUCAGAAAUGACCACAGGGUUUCAAAUACUCCCUGAAUUCACUGUCGUACAGCACAAACGCGAUGUGCAAUUACUCUAUGCACUGAAAGCAUACUUCGGUUGUGGUGUUGUUCGCACGAACAAUGGUGACCGAAUGGCGUAUCGGGUUCGUAGCAAGGAGCACUUGCUCCAGCAUAUCGUUCCAUUUUUCCUUAAGCAUCCGCUUAAAUCCAAGAAGCGAGCAGAUUUUCAAAAAUUUCGCUCAAUCCUUCUAAAAAUGGAAGCGGGGGUUCAUCUAACAGCAGAAGGCGUUGAAGAAAUACGCCAAAUUGCUGCACAAAUGAAUCGAGGCGCAUUAAGAUAAAGUCCGACCUUACUGGAAACAGUAUA
rnacentral:ncRNA from 1 species